rnacentral:rRNA from 1 species
CCUACGGGAGGCAGCAGUGGGGAAUUUUCCGCAAUGGGCGAAAGCCUGACGGAGCAACGCCGCGUGAGGGAUGAAGGCCUCUGGGCUGUAAACCUCUUUUAUCAAGGAAGAAGAUCUGACGGUACUUGAUGAAUAAGCCACGGCUAAUUCCGUGCCAGCAGCCGCGGUAAUACGGGAGUGGCAAGCGUUAUCCGGAAUUAUUGGGCGUAAAGCGUCCGCAGGCGGUCUUGUAAGUCUGUCGUUAAAGCGUGGAGCUCAACUCCAUUUCGGCGGUGGAAACUACAAGACUAGAGUGUGGUAGGGGCAGAGGGAAUUCCCGGUGUAGCGGUGAAAUGCGUAGAUAUCGGGAAGAACACCAGUGGCGAAGGCGCUCUGCUGGGCCAUAACUGACGCUCAUGGACGAAAGCUAGGGGAGCGAAAGGGGAUUAGAUACCCCUGUAGUCCUAGCCGUAAACGAUGAACACUAGGUGUCGGGGGAAUCGACCCCCUCGGUGUCGUAGCUAACGCGUUAAGUGUUCCGCCUGGGGNGGUACGCACGCAGUGUGAACGUACAAAUAGAAGUUAGACGGCGUGUAGACGUUGCCGAACGGACGACGACGAGGGGAGGUUAGG